rnacentral:rRNA from 1 species
GACAGAGGUCUCGAGCGUUAGGCGGAAUCACUGGGCUUAAAGCGUGUGUAGGCGGAGUUCUAAGUACCUUGUGAAAUCCCACGGCUUAACCGUGGAACUGCUUGGUAUACUGGUUCUCUUGGGCCACUUAGGGGCUACCGGAACAAACGGUGGAGCGGUGAAAUGCGUAGAUAUCGUUUGGAACGCCAAUGGUGAAAACAGGUAGCUGGGAGUGUGCCGACGCUGAGACGACGAAAGCCAGGGGAGCGAGCGGGA